rnacentral:misc_RNA from 1 species
AUGCCCAGUGACCUGCACUGAUCAAUAUUAUCGUAAUUCUUCCUUUAAUUAAAUGCCUUACAAUUUCAUUCACUAAUUUAUCAUCAUCUCUUAUUUUUAACAAGUUAAAUAUUGCACUAGACCCUAGAGAUAUGGUGUAUAAUAUCAAGUGGUGCCUUGAUCGUACGUCUGGCAGCGGGAGACGCUGAGGAAUGAUAGCCUGGUUCAGCCAUUCAAUAAUACAUAGUCUGUAUACACGGGUACACAUUGCUCUAUGUAUAUAAACACCUUUCUCAAGCCCAAUGGAAUACACCUCAAGUGACUAAUGCUAGUUUGGGACUAUUACUAGCUAUACAAGUAGCUCUCUCAAGUGUUGUAUGGACCUCGUAUCAAGUGGCCGCUGUAGUUAAUAUUCCGAAUAUCUUUCUUCUUGUCUGAACAAUCUUGGUGAGGAAGAUGUCUGAGGAGACGUGUGAGAAGGACGCCCAGGGGGAGAACACCCAGCUGGACUACGACAAGAACACCAGCAAGGGGGAACUGGCCGUGAAGGUCAUAUGUCUGGGGGACAGUGCUGUCGGCAAGUCCAAACUUGUGGAGCGGUUUCUGAUGGACGGCUACCAGCACCAGCAGCUGUCCACCUUUGCUCUUACCUUGUACAGAUAUCGCACCAAGGUGGAAAACACAGAUGUAUUAGUAGAUUUUUGGGACACAGCAGGACAAGAGAGGUUUCAGACAAUGCACCCGUCAUACUAUCAUCAGGUAAAUGGAAUUUAUAUUUUUCAGGCUCAUGCUGCAAUCUUGGUGUUUGACGGUACACGCAAAGUGACAUACAAGAACCUCUCCAACUGGUAUAAGGAGCUACGACAACAUAGACCAGAGAUUCCAUGUUUCUGUGCUGUCAAUAAAAUCGACGAAAAUGAAGAUAUUGCAGGAAAGAGUUUUGCUUUCCCGGAGAAGAACAACAUCCCAAUGUACUAUGUGUCGGCCUCAAGUGGCACUAAUGUUGUUAAGAUGUUCAAGGAUGCCAUAAAUGCUGCUUUCCAGUACAAGAAGAACCCAACAGAUGUCACUGACCAAAUCAUGGAAGAACUGGAGAUGGACAUGAAUUUAUAAAGCAAGAAUAUUUCUGUACAAAAAAUCCUCAUCCAAUGUUACUGAGGGGUCUCCAUGGAGGAAAUGGAAAUGGACAUGCCAAGUGUGUGUGUGUGUGUGUGUGUGUG